ensembl:lncRNA
GUAUCUCCGGGGUGCAUACUCCAAACAUACGGCUCUGUCCCACUGAGUCGCCCUGUGCUUCAAUCCGUUCUGUUCCACGAUCAAAUCGAGUGGUCUUUAAUUGGGGGAUUAGAAGGCGGUUCUUCAGGGCUCACCUCAGGAAUAUUAGUGGUGGUUGAAAGAUGUACUCUGCCGCAUAUACCAACGAGCUCUGUUCCACAGACGACACUUCCAGGGACAUGCAGGAUCUUGUUCAGGUGGACACGCACACCUGUGAUGUCACUUACCCUAAGGCAUCACUGAUAUCAUUCAAGCCUUUUUGGUGACCCUGAGGCC